UACGGAGGGUGCAAACGUUGCUCGGAAUCAUUGGGCGUAAAGCGCGUGUAGGCGGCUUGGUAAGUCCGCUCUGAAAGCCCGGGGCUCAACCCCGGGAGGCGGGUGGAUACUGUCAAGCUCGAGUCCGGAAGAGGCGAGUGGAAUUCCUGGUGUAGCGGUGAAAUGCGCAGAUAUCAGGAGGAACACCGGUGGCGAAGGCGGGUCUCUGGGCCGAUACUGACGCUGAGGAGCGAAAGCCAGGGGAGCGAACGGG
rnacentral:rRNA from 1 species